rnacentral:rRNA from 1 species
GACGAACGCUGGCGGCGUGCUUAACACAUGCAAGUCGAACGGGCCUUGUCCCCUUUUUUUUGGGGGUGGGGUUAGUGGCGAACGGGUGAGUAACACGUGAGUAACCUGCCCCUCACUUCUGGAUAACCGCUUGAAAGGGUGGCUAAUACGGGGUGUUCUGGCCUGCUCGCAUGGGUGGGUUUGGAAAGAUUCGACCGGUUUUGGUUGUUUUUGUGGGGGAUGGGCUCGCGGCCUAUCAGCUUGUUGGUGGGGUGAUGGCCUGCCAAGGCUUUGACGGGUAGCCGGCCUGAGAGGGUGAGCGGUCACACUGGGACUGAGACACGGCCCAGACUCCUACGGGAGGCAGCAGUGGGGAAUAUUGCACAAUGGGCGCAAGCCUGAUGCAGCGACGCCGCGUGAGGGAUGGAGGCCUUCGGGUUGUGAACCUCUUUCGCCAGUGAAGAAGGUCCUGCUCUUUGUGGUGGGGUUGACGGUAGCUGGGUUAAUGAAGCGCCGGCUAACUACGUG